GCUCAACCGUAGUAAGCUCUUGAAACUGGGAGACUUGAGUGCAGGAGAGGAGAGUGGAAUUCCUAGUGUAGCGGUGAAAUGCGUAGAUAUUAGGAGGAACACCAGUUGCGAAGGCGGCUCUCUGGACGGUAACUGACGCUGAGGCACGAAAGCGUGGGGAGCAAACAGGAUUAGAUACCCUGGUAGUCCACGCUGUAAACGAUGAGUACUAGGUG
rnacentral:rRNA from 1 species